rnacentral:rRNA from 1 species
GACGAACGCUGGCGGCGUGCUUAACACAUGCAAGUCGAACGAAGUGGCGAACGGGUGAGUAAAGCGUAAUCAACCUGCCCUUCAGAGGGGGACAACACGUUGAAACGACUGCUAAUACCGCAUACAGAAGGAGGAGAUUGCGUCUGUUUAGCUAGUUGGAGGGGUAACGGGCCACCAAGGCGAUGAUCAGUAGCCGGUCUGAGAGGAUGAGCGGCCACAUGUGGACUGAGACACGGCCCAGACUCCUACGGGAGGCAGCAGUGGGGACUCUUCCGCAAUGGAGGAAAGUCUGACGGAGCAAAGCCGCGGGAGUGAUGACGGCCUUCGGGUUGUAAAGCUCUGUUAAUCGGGACGCGGUACCGGAAUAGAAAGCCACGGCUAACUACGUGCCAGCAGCCGCGGUAAUAC